GUGAAGUCUUGUCAGAUGUUUUCCUCUCACCUACUCCAUGACAUGAAUCAACUCCUUCUGAGGCACAGCAGUUUUCCUCCUGGUUGCUACCCCUUCCCGUUAGCAACUCUCCUUGUUAAGCUUGCCUCCUCCAGCUGGAGUUGGCUCUGCAGGCAUGUUUAUUCGGUAGGGAUUGAACCCAGAGGAGCUCAUUAGCCUUCUCCUGAUUGGGAUUGGGGCGUGCCCCUUCACCCAGGGGUUAUGAACAUUAGAGUUGGAAGUAGAAGCAAUGUCUUGUAUCAAGUGUGUGUGUCUCUUGCUUAUAAUUUUUUUUUUUUUUUUUUGAGGCAGGUAUAGUUAAAAUAGUUGUUUUUAAAAUUUUGAGAUUAUCCAGUUUAAAAGAUUUAGCUGUGCAUUCAUAUCACAUUGAAGUGUAUUUGUAUCCACAUCUGAUCAGUGAUCUGCAAACACGGUCUGCAGACAUCCACAGAUUAGCAGGGCUUUAGAAAUGUAUGUCAAUUUUCCUCCAUUUCUGUUUGUGGCACGCUUUUGAUCUUCAUUGCAAACAUUGUAUUCAAAGAGCUGCAGAUGCAGGUCUGAUGCUUUCAGGAUAUUUGUAGUUGUAGCCAGUAGUGAGUGAUCACUUCAAUGAAACUUUAAGGUUUUUGUUGUUGUUUUUAACCGUUGAAGUUGGUGGUGACAGGGUAGAGAGCAAAGUAGGACCCCUACUGGCUGGCUAUAUAAAUACUGCUCUUCUAGCAUCCCAGUCUGUUUGCAAGAGUGUCUGUCUUCUCAGAAAGAUAAGCCAACUACAGAGGAUCCACAAUGUGCUUUGAAGAAAAAUAAACAACAAGGAUCAAGAGAAAAGUAACUCUCAAAAAGCAAUCUCCAAGCACUGAGGUGAGGUGGGAAGUGAGUGUCCUCCUGCAGUAUAUUUUCAGAGAAGAAGUUGAAGGAAGUUCUUUCUCUCUCCAGUAAUACUAUCUCUGUGCGAUUCUUACUUCUGGGCCAUGAGAUGCUCAUUGGAUAUUUGAAAAUGAAAGUAAAGCUGAAGUGAGCAGCAGUAAUAAGGCUAAGGCCAACAGUGUGAACAGGGAGGUUUUAAAAAAUACAAAUACAAAAAGGAGUAAGUUACUCCUUAAAGCCAAGGGUUGGACCUAACAUUCAAGUUUGCCAAAAAAAAGACAGUAAUCGGACAAAAUCAAUGCAAAGAAUGGCUGUCUGAGCCAUGUAAGAGACAUCCCUAAAGAAAAAUCAACACUUUGUGGACAUGGGGGAAGUUUGAUCCCAUCUAUCUUGGAAACAAGUUCUGAAACAUGGUGAGUCUGAAACAGCAUUCCUAGGAGGCUGAAUCCAAGCAAUAAUACUUUUGUAAGGCACCCAGAGAGCAUGAUGUAGCCAUUUACCUACCUCUGUGAUAGAAACACACAUGAGGCAGGCAGCGGUGGCUGCGUUGCUCCUGACUGAGUGAACUUUGACUUGGUCUCUAGUUGCAGGUCAGCCAGGUAAUAGCAAUCAGACAUACUAUUAGACAUGGUUCUCUUGGUCAUAGCAUUGUUCAGUAAAAUAGUGUUAAAAGGAACAGGUAGGUAGACUUUCUAAUUGCUUUAGUCCACUUCCAGCAGAACCCCAAGAACGCGUUAACUUUCUUUGAGCAUGUGGAAAAGGGCCUCCCUGGAUGGGCAAUUUGGGUGUGGAAGGAAUGUUAACAGCAGGAGGUCAGAACAGGAAACCUUUGUGACCUAGUCUAACUUCCGAGCCAAUCUUUAGUAGCAGGAUAAGAGGUGGAAGAAACCAGUGGUCUGAACCACCUCUUGAACAGAUUAAGUUCCUGCUCUUGGACUCCUGAAAAUGAUAAACACAGCCUUGUUCACUCAUUGCACCCUGAAUAACUACCCCACAAUUGCCCACUACCCCCUUCCUCCUGUUUUUGUGUGGUUUAUUGGACUUUAAUCAUGUAUUCACUCUCGAAAACUGAUGUGGACUCUGAAACCACUCUUGCUAUGCUAAAUUACCAUGGUUUAAAUGAUAUGAGACUGGAUUUAUAGUUUACAGUUUAGAUAUAUGUUCAUGCAAAUGAAAUUAAACAAAAUAUUUGAGUAAAAAGUGAAGAUAACAAUAAGAAAAUAUUCAAAUAUAUUUUUGGUGAGCCCAUUGCAUUUUACCAGUUUCCUUUAGAGGGCAGGGAGACUACAGUAAAUGCUUUGAAACAGAACCUACCAUCAGCAUUAUGGAAAGGCCUCUGAUGUAACACAGUCCUGUGACUGCUCCCAAUGUGAACCCCAGAUGGCAGCGUCACAUCGCUAGCACAGUAUAUCAACAAUCCUCUUAAAGCUGCAACUCUGUCUGCCACGGCCCCUGAUAGAAUGCCGAUUACUGGCCUGAACUGUUGAAGGAAACUGAGGUGAGAGAAUCUCAUGAGAAAGAAGCAGCAAUUUCAGAAAUUCUAUAAGAAGGGAGAUUCUCUAGCUCAGGGGACUAGUAACUGUAAGUGAAAUGUUUUACUUCCAAAGGUUACUUUAAUCCAAUUGAGGUCAGUAGUGACAAAAAAUUAUCUUGUUUAGUGGCCAGUUUGAAAUGAGUUGGUCAAUGGGUGGUCAAAGUGUAGUUUCUACACAUUACUAAAAACCACCGUGAAGACUGCUAUUAUGAAAGGCCAAUGACUGAACGGGCCUAGAGACUGACCCACCAUCUCAUUCCUAGAGGUAGGCCCAUCAGAAGAGUUAAGACAUAGUGGUGGUGCAGUGUUUGGAAGCUUGUACUCUCUGGGCCAUACAUUUUCUUUAGAGAAUUAUUUUGUGGUAAUCUGUUUUCCAUCGUGCACUGCUUCUUCAUUAGCACUAACUUCACUUUGAAAAAUAAAGUUCUAAAAUUUGUAACAAAGACACUGUCUUAGGGUUUGACCACAGUUAUGCAUUUUUGUGUGUGCCAGGCUUGUAUUAAUUCUUAUACUAUUCUUUAUAGUUUCUUACACUAACCUCAUCACUGUAGUUUGAGUGCUUGCAUUAGGAGUGCCUAGCUGUGUAAUGAUAGUGAUAUAAAAGUCAGCUUCUCCACAUGGAUAUAGACAGUGAUUUGGGUAGUAGCAGUGAUGAGCAGAACUCCAAUGGAUCAAAGGUCUAGGCAGUUAUCUGGUCAAAAACUUGUUAGCAGUUCUGCAAACUGAAUUGGGCAUCUUACAGAAACAAACCUUCAUGAGAUUUCUGGUACUUUGUGUUUCUGGGUGGCCUUUCUAAUGAAAUAUCAGCAUUUCUGCUUCCAGACCCAACCAGAACUAAGUGUAGAUGUGGUGAGAAGGGAUGGAGGAGGUGAACCUCAUUUUUUUUCCCCUCAAGCUUCAAAAAAGGUUUUGGGUCAGUUCUUAUUUUAUCCAAGACAAUCCGGCUGCGUCUUGUUACUGGUUCUGUUGCUUCACUGGAUAGCAAAAGUUGAAGAGAUAUUGCUAUGACUUAAAUAGGGAUUAUAAUAUUACUUUAUAUUAUAUUAUAUUAUAUUUUAUAUUAUAAGUUGGACUCUUCACUGAACCUGUUUGGAUUUCUCUGCUGCUAAAAAGAGGCUGUUUUGAUAGCUUUGAAUUAAGUAGUUUGACAGUGGCGGCAGUUUUGAUAUAAGUGUAAAUGCUUUGUAAGGUAGGUAGAGGUAGGUUGAAAUUAUAUAUACCUCUUAUUUUCCUUUAUUUUUAUUUGGCCUCACAGACUCAGUAAGAUAUGCUGUACUUCCACAUGCCCUGAACCAAAGCCCUUUCAAAUCAGAGGGUAUCUUUCCAUGAAGUUUAGUGGGCUCUUGAUCAGGCUUUUAGAGCAUAUAAUUACUACAUAAUAUUGUACCCUUACCGUAAUUGACAGAUCCUUAUUUUAAAGGCACUUUCAGCGCCUCAUUUCAGAUUCAAUGCAUCUUUGUACCUGUCUUGUAUUAAAAUGUUUGAAAGUGAUAGAAUACUGUUAAAUAAGCUAUUUUCAAAAAGUUUUACUGAUUAGUGACAUACCAGGACAUUAAUAAUGGUGGGUUUGGAAAGUAACAUGAAGUUUCUGCACUUAUUUAUUAUGGAUUUCUGUUGUUUUACUUCAAUAUAUUCAUUUUUCUUUGGUAUCACUAGAUCUGUUGUAAAGUAACUUUAUAUAUUAUAUUAGAGAUUUUAUGGAUCUGGACUGUAGAUCUUUUCCAACCCCACUCACCACACACUAAGGCAGUGGUUCUCAAACUGUGGGAUGUGCCUCCCUCGGGGUGCAGUGGAACGUUCGGUGGGACAUGUUGGGGGGCUCAGGCCAGCCCCACAGCAGGUGGGGAUGGAGUGCCCCCCCAGCCCAGCUCUGGCCCCAGCUGCAGCUCCACUCCAUCCCCAGCCCAGCUCUGCCCUCAUUCCUUCUCCGCCCCCCCCAGAACAGCUCCACCUUCUACCAAAGCUCCUCUGCUGAGCCAACAGUGCAGUAAUGGGGGGCGCGGACAGACUCCAUUACUGGUAAGGGGGGUCAAGACAGGUAAAGUUUGGGCACCACUGCAAUAAGGGGUCUGAAGGUGACAAGAUUUGGAUUCUCUGUAAGAAGAAUACUGUUGGCCACAACAGGAUUCCUCUGUGGGUCAGGACACUAAUGCAGGGAGCAUUUUACUUCUCUGAGUAGGAAAAAGAACCUCUUUACCUGCUGCCAGCAAAAGCUUACUAUUAACUAUGGUGUCUCUGGGGGAUACCAAACUGAUUUGAUAGAGGAGAGAGAGAAGGCACAGUCUUCCUCUUCCUUCAGGGAAUUGAUGUACUUUUAAAUGCAUGGGGAAGGGUAUCUUAUAAGUAUUUGAAUUAAUAAAGUGUUAAAAAUUAAAGUUUAGGGUGCUAGACAUUCAGGCUGCGAUACAUCAUCUGGGCUUGUCCUUUCAACCAACAUAACCCCUUCGCACACCCACCUUCCCCAAACCCCACCCUCUUGUGCACCAGCACAACAGAGAGUAAGAGUUUGUCCUUACUCUUUUUAACUCCAUGGAUGAACAACCUUGGGACCACCUAGAGCCACAAUGGUAACUAGCCCCAAGAGCUGAAAUACUGAACUUAAUUUUUAAAUAAAUUCACGCCAUUUUAAAAUCCAAGCACAAAACACAAAUUAUCCUUGUUCUGUAUUUCUCUUUUGAUAGAUAAUAGAAAUAGCUUGAUGUUUGAGUUCACAAACAAACAAACUGCUUUUGUCCCCAACCUGCAGUAGUAGGAAGAUGACAGCUGGAGCAGAAGGAUCUAUUCUGGAAGGCUGCAGGCUACACUGACUUUUGCUUGUGUCAAAUGUGUGUUCUUUCGUUGAAUGAUGCAUUAAAUGUUGUUUGUUAUGAAUCUCAUUGCUUUGCCUUGUAAAACACUGGACAGAGAAACCAUUUAAAAUGUUGUCUUCAGUUAUUAAGGGUAGGUGCCUAAAAUAUAGGCACCUAAAUAAGUGUCCUCUCCUAUGAAAGUGCUGACUACGUGAAACUCCCACUGAUUUAUGAAACUGCAUAAAUAUGGAUUUAGGUGACCAACUUUAGACACGCACGUUCGGAACUUUUGGCCUGAGUUAUUGGGUGGUGGUGCAGCCAUAUGACUGCGGUACAUUUUGCUCCUCCAGUUUGAUCUUUUAUUCUUUGUAAAUGUGUGCUAAAACUUAAAAUCAAUAAAACACUAUUUUUGGGGGGAGGGAAUCCUCUGUGUUGUUGGAAUUUUGUUCCAUUUGUUAGAAAAAAUGCAGGAAUAAGCAGAAAUUAUUUUCAGUAACUAAAUAUAUCCUGAGAUUAGGUGUUAGUAAUGUAGGUAAUAAACUGAAAUGCCCUAGA